GAUGCAUUGGCCUCCCCCUGCAGGAGUUGGGAACGCGCAGAUUCCGCGAAUCACAGUUUUCAGAUAUGGCUGAAAUUGAUAACCCAAGUGAGCAGCUCAGGGAUCAGGACCUGAGGUUUUCAGCACAAACGACAAGAGGUUCAAGUAGAAAAGCAGAAGCGGAACAUGCAAUAUGCAGCCCGUGCCUGGCUUCCCUCACUCAGCUUGACGAAAUCACAGAACAGAUUGUUCUCAAGGAGGCCCCCGUGGUGUUUUCCGGAGCUCCUCUGCCAGGUGGCAGUCUGAAAGACCCCCCCACCCAGACAGCCCUCUGCGAUCUGCGAAGUGAGCAGAGCUGCAUGUGCUGCUCAUCCUUCACCCCUUCAUUCAUUCACUUGGAAGCACCCAGUGAGCACUGUGAAGUCGUGGGCGCUGGUCCAGUGGUGACUGAGGGCAGUGGUGGGUGCCAGGUCCAGUGGUGACCGAGGGCAGUGUCCUCAGGGACUCACGGUUGGCUGUCCUUAGGGACUCACGGUUGGCUGUGGGGACACAGUGGUGUGCACCGGGUCCAGCGGUGACCGAGGGCAGUGGUGGGUGUCGGGUCCAGUGGUGACCGAGGGCAGUGGUGGGCGACGUGUCCAGUGGCGACCGAGGGCAGUGGUGGGUGCUGGGUUCAGUGGUGACCGAGGGUGUCAGUCCUCAGGUAGUCACAGUUAGCUGUGGGGACACAGUGGUGUAUGCCAGGUCCAGUGGUGACCGAGGGCAGUGGUGGGCGCUGGUCCAUUGGUGACCAAGGGUACUCGUCUUCAGGGACUCACAGCUGGGGGGGCACCAAUGAGCAAAGAAAGAAGAAAGAACAAAAGGAAGAUGGGUGGGUGCAGCACAUGCUGCUGGGGCCAGGAGGAGCCUCACCCUGUUGUUCCAGGCCCGGCACCCCCAGCCUGUUCCGGGAAAACUGUCUGGCAAGGCAGGCCUGACCUUGCCCAGGCCACGCUGGCCCCUCUCCCUCUGAACCUCGUGGCUCAUGGCCCAGGACCCGAUGGCAGCGAGCCCAUGGGGGUGAGCCUGGGAAGGAUGCUCUGUGUGGAUGGGGAGUGGCAGGGGCAGGAUUGUGGUCUGGGCUUAGGAGGGGGAGUCCUGCGUGCCCCGGGGAGGCUGACUUUUCGGCAUUAGAAGGAAAUUUGCCUUGAAAAAGAACCUGGGACAGUGCCUGAAAGACACAACUGGGAGGGUCCGAGGCUGGCCAACCCCAGAACUGAGUUCUUGGCCAGCUGCCCAGGGCACCUGGCUUGGUAGGAGGCUGGAGAGGCACUAGAGCCCGCUGAGGAUGUCCGGCCCUCGCACUCUCUGGCUGCCCUGGGUGCACCCACCUGCCAAAUGCAGACUUCUCAGCACCCCUCAAGCCUGCCUGAUUCCCCUGCUGGGAAGAGCACGCCAGCACUCCUGACCUGGAGCUGUCCUUCUCAGCACGUGGUCUCAGAGAGCGGGCGGUGGGUGAGACCAUGCGGGGGUCGUUGGGUAUAAAAUGGAUUGAUCUUGAGCUGUGGUUCAUCUCCGUGAGCACCAGAGCGUGGAGCUAAAAGAUGGCUUCAUCUACGGAGGACAAAAUUUACUUUCAAUAUCUCACUUUAUGGGGGAUAUGAACUGUGAGUUUAGGAGCCAAGUCCAGCAUGCUAAAAAUCUUCCAAGCUGUUUCAUUUUCUUAUCUCCAAGGAACCGGUGAGAAUAUGUGGGUAAGUAUUGGAAUCUGACACGUACAGCUCAUAGGCAGAUGGGAUCCUUCAAGGUGGUUUAGACGCGUCCUCUGGGCUGGCAGCAAAUCACUUCUGGGCUCCACUGUUUGCCACCUUUGCUGUGGAACACAGCGGAACCUGCAGCAUCUGGGCUGGGAUUGGACUUCAGAGGGUGCACAUGUGGUUUUUGUGGGCAGUUUUUCUCAGUGGCCUUUUUAUUGAGGAAUAACAUACAUACGGAAAGGUUCCCAAAUCAUAGAUGUAUGGCUUGAUGCAUUUUAAAAAGUGGACACACCCUGAAACUUCCAUCCAGACAAAGAGACAUGGUGUUUGCAGCACCCCAUCUCGCAGGCCCCCUUAGAGGGAACCGCUAUUCUGACUUUCAUGACCGUGAAUGAGGUUUGCCUGGGAUUGAACUUUACAUACAUGAAAUCGUAAGCUAUGGACCCUUUAGUGUCUGGCUUCUUUUGCUCAAGUUAGAUUUGUGAGAUUCGUCUAGAUCAUUAUGGGCAGAAAUUCUUUCUUUCUCCAUGGCUGUCUUCGAUGGUCUGAGUACACUUCUUUUUAAACAAAUUUAAUUUAAUUUUAAGUUCCGGUAUCCGUGUGUGGGACGUGCAGGUUUGUUACAUAGGUAAAUGUGUGCCAUGGUGGUUUGCUGCACCCAUCAGCCCAUCACCCAGGUAUUAAGCCCAGCACACAUUCGCUAUUUAUCCUGCUUGAGGGUCUCUCUCUUCUCACGCAUGAACAGCGUUGUUCUUUUGCAUAGUUCAGGGCUGUGGGGCAUAGUGUGGCCCCGCGUUCAUGUGCGUGUCUCAUGGUGAACACAGGCAGGCGUUGGGCAUAAAUCCAACCAUCACACAUGCAUUGCAAAUAUCUACUCACAGUUUCUGGCUUAGUUUUAAUUCUCUUAACAGUGUCCCUUGAUAAACAGGCAUUCUUAACUUUAACAAAGUCCAAAGUUUCCAUCUUUCCAUUAGUCUUCAGAAAAAUAAGUAGCAUUUAACAAUUCUAUUUUCUAUUUGUGUUACUGGUAUAUUGGGAUACAAUGUUUCAUGCUAACCACAUAUCUUGUGUCUUGCUAAAUUCUCAUAUUAACUGUAACAAUUUAGCUGUAGAUUCUUUUGGAUUUUCUACAUGCACAAUUGUGUUACCUGUAACUAAUUACAGUUUCAUGUCUUUAUUUCCAGUCCCAUACUUUUGCUUUCCUUUCCUACCUUCUCAUCCUGGCCUGGGCCUCCACCACCACAUUUGACAGAAAUGAAAAUAGCAGACUCUUGUCUCAUUCCUGACAUCAGGGGAAAACUUUUGACAUUUUAUCAGGAAGUGUGUUGGCUGUAGGCUUUAGGCUUUUUGAUGAUAUCUGUAUCAUAUUAAGAAAGUUACUUUCUCAGACUUCUUUUACUUUUACAGCCUGGGCAACAGAGCAAGA
rnacentral:lncRNA from 1 species